ACGCUGGCGGAAUGCUUUACACAUGCAAGUCGAACGGUAGAGGGGGCAACCCCUUGAGAGUGGCGAACGGGUGAGUAAUAUAUCGGAACGUGCCCAGUCGUGGGGGAUAACGUAGUGAAAAUUACGCUAAUACCGCAUACGAUCUAAGGAUGAAAGCGGGGGAUCGCAAGACCUCGCGCGACUGGAGCGGCCGAUAUCAGAUUAGGUAGUUGGUAGGGUAAAGGCCUACCAAGCCAACGAUCUGUAGCUGGUCUGAGAGGACGACCAGCCACACUGGAACUGAGACACGGUCCAGACUCCUACGGGAGGCAGCAGUGGGGAAUUUUGGACAAUGGGCGAAAGCCUGAUCCAGCCAUUCCGCGUGCAGGAUGAAGGCCCUCGGGUUGUAAACUGCUUUUGUACAGAACGAAAAGGUUUCUAUUAAUACUAGGAGCUCAUGACGGUACUGUAAGAAUAAGCACCGGCUAACUACGUGCCAGCAGCCGCGGUAAUACGUAGGGUGCAAGCGUUAAUCGGAAUUACUGGGCGUAAAGCGUGCGCAGGCGGUUAUAUAAGUCAGAUGUGAAAUCCCCGGGCUCAACCUGGGAACUGCAUUUGAGACUGUAUAGCUAGAGUACGGUAGAGGGGGAUGGAAUUCCGCGUGUAGCAGUGAAAUGCGUAGAUAUGCGGAGGAACACCGAUGGCGAAGGC
rnacentral:rRNA from 1 species